CCUGUAGUGCACCAGCGAGUACUGGAGUGUGAAGUGUACGGCUGUAGUACACCAGCGAGUACUGGAGUGUGAAGUGUACGGCUGUAGUGCACCAGCGAGUACUGGAGUUGUGAAGUGUACGGCUGUAGUGCACCAGCGAGUACUGGAGUGUGAAGUGUAUGGCUGUAGUACACCAGCGAGUACUGGAGUGUGAAGUGUACGCCUGUAGUACACCAGCGAGUACUGGAGUGUGAAGUGUACGCCUGUAGUACACCAGCGUGUACUGGAGUGUGAAGUGUACGGCUGUAGUACACCAGCGAGUACUGGAGUGUGAAGUGUACGGCUGUAGUACACCAGCGAGUACUGGAGUGUGAAGUGUACGGCUGUAGUACACCAGCGAGUACUGGUUGCGUUGUCAUUAGUGCGGUCAGCUGUAAGUGUGUGUAGGUGUGAACUAGACACAGCUGAAUUUUUACAUGGCUGAAAGCCUGAAUGGACAAAAGUUCUGGCUGUUUAUUGGAAAAGGAAAGGAGAACAAAGCACUUGCCGAGUGUAGGUGUGUUAAGAGCACAGCUGGUCCGGAGAUCAGCUGAUCGUGUGUGUGCGCGCACGUGUGCAACCACAUUGACAGUUUGUUUUGCUGACAACUCGGCCAACAAGUACCAGAACUGCUGUUGACACAAAGAGAUGUUUCCAGCCUGUCAUGGUGCCAAGACCUCAGAUCAUUUUGUGUGUGUGUGUGUGUGUGUGUGUGUGUGAGAGAGAGACGCACACACACACACACACAGUAUAUCUGGAUGUGUAUCAAAGCACUUUCAGUGUGUGUCAGAGACAUGGUGACUCCUUAGGUUUGUGCUCACACACACAAUAAUCAGUGUGUAAAUACAUUUGUAAGUUAGAGAAAAGAUGAAAUGUGUAUGAGGAAGAGAGAGAGAGAACCACAUUGCCUUCAGUGGAACUGAGAAUCCCCAAGGCUUUUUUUUUUUAUUAACUGAAACGGAGUUGCAGAAACCACGGCUCCUUGUUUAGGCCGGUUUGUUUAUUUAUUUAUUUAUUUAUUUAUUCUCGGCCUUUAAAAGGGCUCUAGAACUGACAGGCACACAGGCCACACCUGUUUCAUAAGGAAGCACAUGGGGUCGUGACGGCUUCUCUUUACCGAGUUGACUGAGGUUCUUUCUUUUCCUGUAACACACAUCCUGGAGCAUUUGAUUCCUCUUGAACCAAACAACUCUAGCCAUUUAUUUAGUUAAGACUUGUUUAUCCUUUUAUAGUUCACAUUUUUUAAUGCUCCUCGAAACCAGAUCGGUCCUGUUAACACUUAUGUUAUAACAGCUAUAAACAGUUCUUCCCCUCACUGAUCUCUUUUUUUUUUUUUUUCCUUCUCUCUUGAAGCUAAAAGGCAAUAAGAAUCAACGUAAUCGUAUUUUUACUCGAGCGUCCACCAUUCAAGUCUCUGUCCCUAUAGUAAAUUGUUACUAUGCAAACAAUAUUGUAUUAUAUGUGUAAUAAUGUAAACCUGUGAUUUGUCUUGCAGCCAGAACUACUGUAAGAGCUGCUGUCGUAGAAAACGAACACCUUCUGACCAAUCAGAAUCAGGCAUUCAACAAUGCAGUGCUAUAAGACACACGAUUAACCCUUAUGUCACUUAUGGUGACUUUCCGUGAAGUGAAAUAAGCUGAGUUAUUUCUUCUUACUUCUUUUAGCUGUAAGAAGCAAACUUUUAGUCAGCGCAAGCGCACGCAGCUUUUCAUUUCUCGUCUUUCAUUCUCCGAAACGCCUCCGUCGUUUAUCAGAGAGAUACGUAGAUACGUACCUAAUCAUCUCCUCCUCGUUUUUCUCUCUCAAAUGGAAUUUUUUUUUUUUUGCUGUUCUGAUCAUUACCGUGUCUUCUUCCAGACUGGGCUGAACGACGACAGGCGUGUGGGCGGCGCGAGAGCCGUUUAGCCUCUCCGUGACCUGCUCGGUGCUGUGACAGUAGAUAUGAAAGGUAAGAGUUUUGGGGUCUAGCAAGAAGAGUAGUGCUCUUAAAGGGGAGCGAAUGAGUUCUGGAGAGAUUAGUCAGGUUUGGAUUAUUGGGCUUUUCUGAGGCUACGUAUUUCAGAAAGUAAUCUCCAUAUUUAUUCUGCUAGACGGAUGACUCGGCUCUUCACAGUUAUCUGUUUGUCUGAAUGGCCGUCUGUCUCUCAGCCUGCCAACACCGUCACACCCAGUAUGGCAGUGUGUUAUUGAAUGUCUGUCCUUCGAUUCUGGAUGUGUACAAGCCCCGAAUGUAUAACGAUUCUUUUCACCAGUCUUCAUCCGCAGGUCUCUUUGGGUCUCUCGGCCUGUAGGAACUGAAUCCUGACUCUUUAAACCACGUGCUGCUGAAUUCUUGAGUCUGAACAUGUCGAUUCAUUUUCUACAGCAGUAGUGCCACUGUUAUCGUUAUCGUUUCUAUGGUAACUCGCCCAGGGACUUGUAUAGUGGACGCGCCACAUAAACAGAAUUUCUAUAAAAACACUGCACUGACAGAAGCCGAGCAACGCCACCGAUCACCAACCUUUAGAAGGUUGGGGAACACGACACCAGCAACCUUUUUUUUUUUACCAUUCGGACCAAAUGGUUGAAAAAUGGAUGAUCCUUUUAACGCAAUCAAAAUACUGUUGUUUGUCUUUACGUGUCGUUCUUCACCUGAAAAGAUGAAGAGUGAAGCGAAAGAGGUUGUGGGUGAAGCCUUGGUUGGUUGUUUGACCCCCAAGCUGUUUCAACAACUCAGAGAAAGACAUCUUAAGGUAGGCUAUGUGGUAAGAUAAGACCAUUAUUAGAUGAUCAACAUUAUGAACAAUAUUUUUACACAAAUUUAAAUUGGUUGCAAUUUUGCUUCUUACUUCAUGAAACGGGACACGCCGACCAACGCCGACAGGGUUAACACAGUGAUCUGACAAAACCCAACAAAUGUGUCUGUUGGCGUUGAUCGGCGUCUGUCGGUGCAGUGUGAACUAGGCUUAAGAGUUAUGGAAGGAGUCUCCAGUGCUAGUGGUUUUUAUAACUCUCAGGGCGGCUGUGGAUCAGGUGGUAGAGCGGGUUGUCCAGUAAUCAUAGGGUUAGCGGUUCGAUUCCCGGCCCACGUGAUUCCACAUACCGAAGUGUCCCUGGGCAAGACACUGAACCCCAAUUUGUUCCCGAUGGUAAGCUAGCGCCUUGCAUGGCAGCUCUGCUACCAUUGGUGUGUGUGAAUGGGUGAAUGAGACACAGUGUAACCGUGUAGAAUCGCUAAGGUUUAAAAUAAAUAAAUAAAUAAAUAAAUAAAAAAGCGCUAUAUAAGUGCAGACCAUUUACCAUUACUCGGAGGUAAAUUAUUGCUACUUGCAGCUUCUCUUUAGCAUGACAAGUUGCAUUUUUGUCUUAUUAACUCCGAGAGAGGAAGAAAAGAGGUGAGAGAACACCUCUCCAUUAUAGCUGCGAAGUGAGACCUGGAAGGAAAUGUUUUGUGGACGUUCCACAACAUUAAACAGAACUAUAAACAGAUAGAAAAUACAGUUUGUCAUUCUUGAAUUGAUGAAAAUGUCGUCGUUUCGGGCCACGUCGCUGAUUCGUUUCCUCUAACGGCACAUCCUUUUGGACCAAAAUGCCAGGUAUACCCUGAUGAAUAGUACAAAAAAAGUUUUCAGUUCAAGCACAAGCCAUGCGAGUUCAUCCUGUAGAGUGUUGUCUUUUGUGUGGAUGAUGGAGAUGUUACUAAAGCCUCGCUGCAUCAUUAGUGUUGAUGACGAGAGUGUGAGUCAGACAGAGGAACAGCUUGAACAUUCCUCAUUCCUCCUCUCAGAUGUUGUCAUCCAUCAGCGCUGCCUCGUACAGUUCGGUUGUGCUCUGCACUCUUUGUUCUGAGCUGUGUGUCUAGUGUAAAAGCUGCUGAGAUGAAUGUUCUCACCUGGAAGUCUCAGAGACAAGCUCCGUGACCUGUUGCUGCCUUGCUGUUUUAUAAGUCCUGUCUAAUACUGAUUUGAAGACUCUCAUAUCCAAAAUGCUGUGUACACUGUAUCACAAUCAUUACUGUUUACUUUUGUCCAUGUGAUGUGCGAUGUGUUUAUUGAUUGAAGUUUAUUUUUGUGGUUUCUACACUCGCUUGCUAGAGGUUCGGUUUGGGGUUUUCAGCCGCGUAACAAUGAACGAAAGUUUGAGUUCAUUUUCCUCCCUGUCCCCUUCCAUACACACUUUUUCGCUUUUAGAUUCAUUUCAUAACAUGCAGUGCAACUAAAUAAAUCCAAAUAAAAACAACCAAAAGCAUCAAUUUAGCUCUGAUUUGAACCGGACAACAUAGGUUAUAUAUAAUAUAUAUAUAAAUCAUUCAUAUAUAUAUAUAUAUAUAU
ensembl:lncRNA